rnacentral:lncRNA from 1 species
AAGACUAGAUUGAUUGAUUGUUGGUUGCUUAACGUCCAGUGGCAAAUAUUUCAUGCAUAUUCAGGACGAGAACAAGUUCACAAUAAAUACAAUAGGUAGGUUGUUGUAAUAGAGGCCAUCUAGGAUGAUGGUCGGGGAAAUUUGGACUGCCACUGGAAAAUGAGGGUAUAUUGGAUAGGGACAGAAAUUUUGCCUUGCAACAGGCCACCUACGGACCCCUCAAAGAGUUGUUGCAAGGGUUCUUAACGUGCAAAGAGCGUGGCACUCUCUUUACACGAGGCAUCGGAUUUAACGUCCCCUUCUGACGGACGUGACUGCGAACUUGAUACAUCCCGCACAGCCAAACGGACGCCCCACUUCGGUAAGCGUUUUAC